CCGCCCCUCAUUGGGGAGUAGCCGCCCCGCGGCACGUCCGCACCGCUUCGCCGGUGCGUCGCACGUGUGGUUCGCGGGGGCGCCUGUCAACAGACUUGGCCGUCACGGCCAUGGCAGUCGCAGCCUCUGGCCUGGCGAGACCGAUGAUCCACACGCGCCGCAACAGGGCCCGGCGUGUCGUGGGUCGUCGCUCGCUCAUUUCCGGCCCGAGGA
rnacentral:sRNA from 2 species